rnacentral:rRNA from 1 species
GAUGAACGCUGGCGGCGUGCCUAAUACAUGCAAGUCGAGCGAACAGACGAGGAGCUUGCUCCUCUGACGUUAGCGGCGGACGGGUGAGUAACACGUGGAUAUCCUACCUAUAAGACUGGGAUAACUUCGGGAAACCGGAGCUAAUACCGGAUAAUAUAUUGAACCGCAUGGUUCAAUAGUGAAAGACGGUUUUGCUGUCACUUAUAGAUGGAUCCGCGCCGCAUUAGCUAGUUGGUAAGGUAACGGCUUACCAAGGCAACGAUGCGUAGCCGACCUGAGAGGGUGAUCGGCCACACUGGAACUGAGACACGGUCCAGACUCCUACGGGAGGCAGCAGUAGGGAAUCUUCCGCAAAGGGCGAAAGCCUGACGGAGCAACGCCGCGUGAGUGAUGAAGGUCUUCGGAUCGUAAAACUCUGUUAUUAGGGAAGAACAAAUGUGUAAGUAACUAUGCACGUCUUGACGGUACCUAAUCAGAAAGCCACGGCUAACUACGUG